rnacentral:tRNA from 1 species
GCGCUCGUAGCUCAGUUGGAUAGAGCGGUGGUUUCCUAAACCAUGUGCCGGGGGUUCAAUUCCUCUCGGGCGCA